GUGAUGUACCUACGAGACAUAAAUUUAAAACUCUAACACACUGCUGUGGAAAUUUUAACUUAGUAUGUUUUAGAAAAUAAUUUGCCUUUUCCGUGUAAAGUCCAAAAUGCACAUACCCUAUGACCUAGCAAUAGAUCUCCUAGAGUCUCUCUGAUAUUCCAAGAGGAGGCUCCAACAAGAACACAACUCUCAGCAUGUUCAUCAGUGGUGCAUAAAUAAAUUUUGAUAUAUGCAAACAAUGGAAUCAUAUUCAUAUAGGAUGAUGCACAACUAUAGAUGUGAGCAUCCCUCAAAACAUAAUGUUGAGUGUUAAAUCAUUGUCAUGGAUGAGUUUCUUCAGUAUGACUUUAUUUAUGUUAAGUUCAAAUUGAGGCCAAAACGAACAGGUUGUAUUUAUUGGUUAUCUCUCGUAGGGGGCAGGAAUUGCAAGCAAGGAUGACAAAAUAAGAAGCUUUAGACAUCCCUACUACAAGGGUAUUAGCAAUCAUUUGGACCACAACAACUGGAAGGGUUCAGUGACUUGCCUGAGAUCACAUACCCAGCAAGUUGUCUGGAACCCACUAUGCAACACUGGAGCCAUACUCUGCAAGCAUUUCGCUGCAGUACCUCCAUUCCAGAUGUUCCGAAUAUUGGAGACAGACGUUUAUUUUAUUUCCUUGGUUCCCAUUUCACAUGAAGCUUUUGCACAAAGAAGGGAGCAGCGAUGGAGGAGAAAGAUAUGUGGAUGAAACUGAGCCUGUAAAAAGUAUAGAUAUUUGCCUUCUUUCUAUAUUUCUUUCUGGAAAUUAAUGAAAUAAUGUUUUUUUUUUUU